rnacentral:ncRNA from 2 species
CCAAUAGCGUAUAUUAAAGUUGUUGCAGUUAAAAAGCUCGUAGUUGAACUUCGGGAUCAAUUAGUUGGUCAUGCCUUGGUAUGUACUGAUUUUAUUGGUUCUCACCUUCUAAAGAACUAUAAUGUCAUUUAUUUGAUGUUAUAGGGAAUUAGGACUGUUACCUUGAAAAAAUUAGAGUGUUUAAAGCAGGCUCACGCUUGAAUACAUUAGCAUGGAAUAAUGAAAUAGGACAUCGCAUUCUAUUUUGUUGGUUUCUAGGAUCGAUGUAAUGAUUAAUAGGGAUAGUUGGGGGCAUUAGUAUUCAAUUGUCAGAGGUGAAAUUCUUGGAUUUAUUGAAGACUAACUACUGCGAAAGCAUUUGCCAAGGAUGUUUUCAUUAAUCAAGAACGAAAGUUAGGGGAUCGAAGACGAUCAGAUACCGUCGUAGUCUUAACCAUAAACUAUGCCGACUAGGGAUCGGAUGAUGUUGAUUUUUUAAUGACUCAUUCGGCACCUUACG